AUUGAACGCUGGCGGCAGGCCUAACACAUGCAAGUCGAGCGGUAGCACAGAGAGCUUGCUCUCGGGUGACGAGCGGCGGACGGGUGAGUAAUGUCUGGGAAACUGCCUGAUGGAGGGGGAUAACUACUGGAAACGGUAGCUAAUACCGCAUAACGUCGCAAGACCAAAGUGGGGGACCUUCGGGCCUCAUGCCAUCAGAUGUGCCCAGAUGGGAUUAGCUAGUAGGUGGGGUAACGGCUCACCUAGGCGACGAUCCCUAGCUGGUCUGAGAGGAUGACCAGCCACACUGGAACUGAGACACGGUCCAGACUCCUACGGGAGGCAGCAGUGGGGAAUAUUGCACAAUGGGCGCAAGCCUGAUGCAGCCAUGCCGCGUGUGUGAAGAAGGCCUUCGGGUUGUAAAGCACCUUCAGCGGGGAGGAAGGCGUUAAGGUUAAUAACCUUGGCGAUUGACGUUACCCGCAGAAGAAGCACCGGCUAACUCCGUGCCAGCAGCCGCGGUAAUACGGAGGGUGCAAGCGUUAAUCGGAAUUACUGGGCGUAAAGCGCACGCAGGCGGUCUGUCAAGUCGGAUGUGAAAUCCCCGGGCUCAACCUGGGAACUGCAUUCGAAACUGGCAGGCUAGAGUCUUGUAGAGGGGGGUAGAAUUCCAGGUGUAGCGGUGAAAUGCGUAGAGAUCUGGAGGAAUACCGGUGGCGAAGGCGGCCCCCUGGACAAAGACUGACGCUCAGGUGCGAAAGCGUGGGGAGCAAACAGGAUUAGAUACCCUGGUAGUCCACGCCGUAAACGAUGUCGAUUUGGAGGUUGUGCCCUUGAGGCGUGGCUUCCGGAGCUAACGCGUUAAAUCGACCGCCUGGGGAGUACGGCCGCAAGGUUAAAACUCAAAUGAAUUGACGGGGGCCCGCACAAGCGGUGGAGCAUGUGGUUUAAUUCGAUGCAACGCGAAGAACCUUACCUGGUCUUGACAUCCACAGAACUUAGCAGAGAUGCUUUGGUGCCUUCGGGAACUGUGAGACAGGUGCUGCAUGGCUGUCGUCAGCUCGUGUUGUGAAAUGUUGGGUUAAGUCCCGCAACGAGCGCAACCCUUAUCCUUUGUUGCCAGCGGUCCGGCCGGGAACUCAAAGGAGACUGCCAGUGAUAAACUGGAGGAAGGUGGGGAUGACGUCAAGUCAUCAUGGCCCUUACGACCAGGGCUACACACGUGCUACAAUGGCAUAUACAAAGAGAAGCGACCUCGCGAGAGCAAGCGGACCUCAUAAAGUAUGUCGUAGUCCGGAUUGGAGUCUGCAACUCGACUCCAUGAAGUCGGAAUCGCUAGUAAUCGUAGAUCAGAAUGCUACGGUGAAUACGUUCCCGGGCCU
rnacentral:rRNA from 1 species